GGGUUGUGAGGUUAAGCGACUAAGCGUACACGGUGGAUGCCCUGGCAGUCAGAGGCGAUGAAGGGCGUGCUAAUCUGCGAUAAGCGCCGGUAAGGUGAUAUGAACCGUUAUAACCGGCGAUACCCGAAUGGGGAAACCCAGUGUGACUCGUCACACUAUCAUUAACUGAAUCCAUAGGUUAAUGAGGCGAACCGGGGGAACUGAAACAUCUAAGUACCCCGAGGAAAAGAAAUCAACCGAGAUUCCCCCAGUAGCGGCGAGCGAACGGGGAGGAGCCCAGAGCCUGAAUCAGCAUGUGUGUUAGUGGAAGCGUCUGGAAAGGCGCGCGAUACAGGGUGACAGCCCCGUACACAAAAGCGCAUGUGCUGUGAGCUCGAUGAGUAGGGCGGGACACGUGGUAUCCUGUCUGAAUAUGGGGGGACCAUCCUCCAAGGCUAAAUACUCCUGACUGACCGAUAGUGAACCAGUACCGUGAGGGAAAGGCGAAAAGAACCCCGGCGAGGGGAGUGAAAAAGAACCUGAAACCGUGUACGUACAAGCAGUGGGAGCCCCACCACUAAGCCAGUGGUGAACUCCACAUACGCAUCCUUUGCUGAGGAUACGGUUAA
rnacentral:rRNA from 1 species